UGAGGAAUAUUGGUCAAUGGGCGCGGGCCUGAACCAGCCAAGUCGCGUGAGGGAUGACGGUCCUACGGAUUGUAAACCUCUUUUGCCGGGGAGCAAGCGUGCGUUCGUGAACGCACGUCGAGAGUACCCGGAGAAAAAGCAUCGGCUAACUCCGUGCC
rnacentral:rRNA from 1 species